rnacentral:rRNA from 1 species
UACGUAGGUGGCAAGCGUUGUCCGGAUUUAUUGGGCGUAAAGCGCGCGCAGGCGGUUUCUUAAGUCUGAUGUGAAAGCCCUCGGCUUAACCGAGGAGGGUCAUUGGAAACUGGGAGACUUGAGUGCAGAAGAGGAAAGUGGAAUUCCAAGUGUAGCGGUGAAAUGCGUAGAGAUUUGGAGGAACACCAGUGGCGAAGGCGAUUUUCUGGUCUGUAACUGACGCUGAGGCGCGAAAGCGUGGGGAGCAAACAGG